AUAGAAACUUUAUAAACGGUUUUUUGGCCAAGUGUCCACCUGUUUAAUUAAUUAAAAUACGUUUUAAUUAUGAAAAACUAAAAGCAAUUAAUAGCACGUGCCUAUUGCCGUUGACGCAAACCCAUAAGAUUUUCUCCUAUCAAAAAGUGUUAAACGUAGUUAAGCAAGUUUUCUGAAAAAUAGUGUUUUGAUUGGAAGUAAAGAAACGGAAAACUAAAGAAAGAAGCACAAAAUAAAGAAAGAAGAGACAGAAAUUCAUCGUAACUAUACUUCAACCGGUCCCUCUGUGUCCGUAUCCGAGCGGAAUAAGAAACAGCCUUACUGUUAACUAUUGUUCGGGAACAUACAACGAACAAAGUAUUUUCGCCCAAUAUGGAAGCGCGAUUAUGUCAACGUGUGCGUACUGUUUUUAAAUAAUGACCAUUACUUCGUAUCGAGAAUUGUGGAGGCAUCGUGUGCUGCCUGCAUUUUAAAUGGAAAUCUCGUCACAAAGCAGUUUUCGUGGUCAUUGGAGCGUCAAGCGAGAGAGCCAAGGGUACUACACCCACGAUUUCCCACAGUUCAAAGGAGUAGCAUGUCACCUGAAGCCUUAUUAAAGGGUAAUUAAUCCACACUAUCUUGCAAAAAACUAAGAACAAGUGUAUUUUUAAAGCUGAGUGCCUGCAUUAUGAGGCUUGCUGCAAAAAAUGUUCCCCGUUACGUUGAACACAUUUUUGAGAAUUUUGAGCGUACGUUAUAUUUUAUCAAAAUACGUAAUAAGUAGUUUCAAAACACUAUGUGAAGGUCUAUCAAACUAAACUAAGUUGAUGAUUAUUCACAAUCUAUUAGUACCUAG